rnacentral:rRNA from 1 species
GUCGAACGGGAAAAUUUCAUUGAGACUUCGGUGGAUUUGAUCUAUUUCUAGUGGCGGACGGGUGAGUAACGCGUGGGUAACCUGCCUUAUACAGGGGGAUAACAGUCAGAAAUGGCUGCUAAUACCGCAUAAGCGCACAGAGCUGCAUGGCUCAGUGUGAAAAACUCCGGUGGUAUAAGAUGGACCCGCGUUGGAUUAGCUAGUUGGUGAGGUAACGGCCCACCAAGGCGACGAUCCAUAGCCGACCUGAGAGGGUGACCGGCCACAUUGGGACUGAGACACGGCCCAAACUCCUACGGGAGGCAGCAGUGGGGAAUAUUGCACAAUGGGCGAAAGCCUGAUGCAGCGACGCCGCGUGAGCGAAGAAGUAUUUCGGUAUGUAAAGCUCUAUCAGCAGGGAAGAUAAUGACGGUACCUGACUAAGAAGCACCGGCUAAAUACGUGCCAGCAGCCGCGGUAAUACGUAUGGUGCAAGCGUUAUCCGGAUUUACUGGGUGUAAAGGGAGCGCAGGCGGUGCGGCAAGUCUGAUGUGAAAGCCCGGGGCUCAACCCCGGUACUGCAUUGGAAACUGUCGUACUAGAGUGUCGGAGGGGUAAGCGGAAUUCCUAGUGUAGCGGUGAAAUGCGUAGAUAUUAGGAGGAACACCAGUGGCGAAGGCGGCUUACUGGACGAUAACUGACGCUGAGGCUCGAAAGCGUGGGGAGCAAACAGGAUU